rnacentral:rRNA from 1 species
UCUACGGGAGGCAGCAGUGGGGGAUAUUGCACAAUGGGGGAAACCCUGAUCCAGCGACGCCGCGUGUGGGAAGACGGUCCUCUGGAUUGUAAACCACUGUCCCCAGGGACGAAGAUGACGGUACCUGGGGAGGAAGCUCCGGCUAACUACGUGCCAGCAGCCGCGGUAAUACGUAGGGAGCGAGCGUUGUCCGGAAUUACUGGGUGUAAAGGGAGCGUAGGCGGGACUGCAAGUUGGGUGUCAAAUCUACCGGCUCAACCGGUAGCCGCACUCAAAACUGCAGUUCUUGAGUGAAGUAGAGGCAGGCGGAAUUCCUAGUGUAGCGGUGAAAUGCGUAGAUAUUAGGAGGAACACCAGUGGCGAAGGCGGCCUGCUGGGCUUUUACUGACGCUGAGGCUCGAAAGUGUGGGGAGCAAACAGGAUUAGAUACCCCAGUAGUC